GAUGAACGCUGGCGGCGUGCCUAAUACAUGCAAGUCGAGCGAACGGACGAGAAGCUUGCUUCUCUGAUGUUAGCGGCGGACGGGUGAGUAACACGUGGAUAACCUACCUAUAAGACUGGGAUAACUUCGGGAAACCGGAGCUAAUACCGGAUGAUAUUUUGAACCGCAUGGUUCAAAAGUGAAAGACGGUCUUGCUGUCACUUAUAGAUGGAUCCGCGCUGCACUAGCUAGUUGGUAAGGUAACGGCUUACCAAGGCAACGAUGCAUAGCCGACCUGAGAGGGUGAUCGGCAACACUGGAACUGAGACACGGUCCAGACUCCUACGGGAGGCAGCAGUAGGGAAUCUUCCGCAAUGGGCGAAAGCCUGACGGAGCAACGCCGCGUGAGUGAUGAAGGUCUUCGGAUCGUAAAACUCUGUUAUUAGGGAAGAACAUAUGUGUAAGUAACUGUGCACAUCUUGACGGUACCUAAUCAGAAAGCCACGGCUAACUACGUG
rnacentral:rRNA from 1 species